AUGGAGUAUUGUUUGAUGGAUUCCAAGGCUUAAAAAUUUGGAUUCAUGUUAGAAUUAUAUAUACUGAUUGUAUCACAGGGCCCAACUAGUUAAAAGUUUUUGAAUCUUUUUCACAUGCUCUAAAAGAUGCAGGGUGCUCAUCUUUGGCCAGCAGGUACCUGUUAUGGAAUGCUAAACAGGUAACAAGGGACAAUGUCUUAUAAAGAUUCAGCAUAAAAGUGACCUUGGCCUAUUUUCAAGGUCACUAUGGGGAAAUAUGAAUUACACGUACUCUAUGUGACCAAGCUAGUAUGCAAUGCAUAAUACUACACUCCUGAGCACACUAUGCUUGACAUCAUGCUAUGUUUAAUUCUACAAAAGCACUCUCUGAGCAGAUUUCAGUACCCGCCAUUAAUUGACUAGGACGAUGUAUCUAUGCAGAACCCUACAUUAUGAUUCACCAAUGCAUUGGAAAUAGUCAUUUUGCCAUUAUUCCCUAGCUGGCUAUAGGAGUGAUUCAGGCCCUUUGGACCUCUUGUUUUUCCUUAUUCUAGGAAUGUCACUAGAAGUAUUCUAUCCCUUCUGAGUUCAUGAAGUUAUCAUAUUUAAUUGCCUGUCCUUUACUACUUCCUGUUUUUGUAACCAAAUAUGGCCUCUGACUUCGUUGUUUCCCCCGAUAUAUUGUAUCCCCACCAAAUAAGUAUACUUAGUCACAGCCGUAAGAACUACACACUGUUUCGGGGAAUUGCCCACAAAAUUUUAUAACAUCUGUUAUGCAUAUAGAUUUUUUUUGUUUGACAAUCAUUUGAAGAUGAUACAUAAGCUUUUUAGAGCUGUCAUUGCCAUUGACCCACAGUACUGUAAAUUGGGAAAUUUUUGCCGUGUAUAAUUUUAUUGUUUUGGUGCCUGGUAUAAAAACGUCGAUAUUUAACGCACCAAAUCAUAAUAUAGCUGGUAUUAAAAUAACAUUAUUUCUUAGCUUUGUAAACAACAGGCAGUCCUAUCAGUAUAUUUGCAUAAAAUGUGUCGUGUUAUUUUUCAGUAAAGUUACUAUUUAUAAGAUUGGUGGUCAUAAUUUUUUCCGUGCUUGUUCAACAGCUGAAACAAAAUUAAAGGUUUGCUAAUAAGGUCAUUAAUUCAUUUGUACUUGAUUAUGGUAUCGUGUAGUAAUUCGUUAAUUUGUACUUGUUUGUAUUGUAUACAGGAUUGUUGGCCAUUUUGUGAGUCUCAUUAAAUCUUGAGGGCUAUGAACUGCCAGGACUUCCAAUGUAAUUACCAUAUUUUAAUCUGAAAGCUGCCAGUGCUAUUCUAUUCUAUGUAUGAAUAUUUACAGUUAAAACAAUAACUCACAAUAACGAUAAAUGCUAAAGCCAUGAUUGUGAGGAAUUCUAAAUCCAAAUAAAUGAAAAGAGUUUUCAAGGAAAAGAAAUAAUUGAUGAUGAAGCAUCUGAACGAUGUUAAUAAACAGCAAUAAAAAACCUUAACUACCAACAAUAUCUGAUAAAGGGUUCAUUGAAAAGCUAUGUUUGGACACAACAAAUGAAAAUUUUUGACAAAAACACCAAAAUUUAAUUACUAACACCAAAAUAUCCCAGUUUACAGUAUACAGGUGUUAGGUAUUCUCGUUAAUUCUUUGCAAAAAGUGAGAGAGUAAAAUCGUACAUGGCUAGUACAGUCAAUGUAGUACUCUAGUUUGUUUGAUAUGUAAAUAUUUGUACAGUCAGCAGUAAAUACUAGUGUUGUUACACAGAACUAAACAAAGAGUGAACAGGAUGUUUGGUCACAUUCUGAUCAAUUUAAAAUCGUGGUUCCUCUUCGUUUGCUGUGUCCUGCAUCUAAAUAUUUUUCGACCGGACAACAAGUGCUCUCACAAUAAAUCUCAAGUGUUUGUGACCUCCAGACUGAGCUUGAUAAAAACUUCACAGAUGCUUAAUCAGUGACUUCGCCAGUGACGUACUUAACACUUAAGUUUGGAACUGACUGACGUAAAUAAGUAGUUGACAAAUUUAUCAGCAUUUUAUAUGCACAUAUGAUUUUGUGUGCAUACAUAAUUAGGUUUCACUUGAUUGGCUAAAGUGACCUUGUAUCACUUGUUAGUAAUCUGGUUUUGGUGCAAGCUAACCAAUCAUAUUUAAAAUGCUUGUGUUAGUGUAUAGGUGGGAAUACCAUACAGUACUGGUGUGUUCAUGUUCUACGUCAUUGUAAGAUGCCCUACCUUACAUCACUGACUUCACAACUGUAGGCAAUGGAUUAAAGAGGGGGAUUGUUAACAGAACAAAUACAUAUUGACAAAAGAAAUAGAGGAAAAAGAAAAUUUAUAUGGGGUAAUUCAUGUCACACACUAGUAUUCAUGAAUAAAAAUUCAAAGGACUUGUUACCCUAAAAUUUUACCAGAUGUUUAAGUCCUUGUGAAUGCCUUUGUAUUUUUUCUCCAAAACUGUGAAGCAAAGAAUGUUCUAUACUGUGUAAAAUUAUAUCUUAAACUGAUAGGAAAUACAAUGUGACACCUAUCAAAACGGAAUACAUAGCAACACUUGGUUUGUAUGUAGAUAUAUUUAGAUAUAUACUUUUUAUACUUAAUUAUCAAAACUCACAAAAUGAAAAUAAUUAAUAACAAUAAAGGAUGUUUGCAAUCACCCCAGUCUCAUGGGAUUCCUCAUUACCUAUGUUACAGUGUGUAGGUUACAACGUCUACACGGCCACCUGUUACAGUGUGUAGGUUCCCACAUCUACACGGCCACCUGUUACAGUGUGUAGGUUCCCACAUCUACACGGCCACGUGUUACACUGUGUAGGUUCCCACAUCUACAUGGCCACCUGUUACAGUGUGUAUGUUCCCACAUCUACACGGCCACCUGUUACAGUGUGUAGGUUACAACGUCUACACGGCCACCUGUUACAGUGUGUAGGUUCCCACAUCUACACGGCCAUCUGUUACAGUGUGUAUGUUCCCACAUCUACACGGCCACCUGUUACAGUGUGUAGGUUCCCACAUCUACACGGCCAUCUGUUACAGUGUGUAGGUUCCCACAUCUACACGGCCACCUGUUACAGUGUGUAGGUUCCCACAUCUACACGGCCACCUGUUACAGUGUGUAGGUUCCCACAUCUACACGGCCACCUGUUACAGUGUGUAGGUUCCCACAUCUACACGGCCACCUGUUACAGUGUGUAGGUUCCCACAUCUACACGGCCACCUGUUACAGUGUGUAGGUUCCCACAUCUACACGGCCACCUGUUACAGUGUGUAGGUUCCCACAUCUACAUGGCCACCUGUUACAGUGUGUAGGUUCCCACAUCUACACGGCCACCUGUUACAGUGUGUAGGUUCCCACAUCUACAUGGCCGCCUGUUACAGUGUGUAGGUUCCCACAUCUACACGGCCACCUGUUACAGUGUGUAGGUUCCCACAUCUACACGGCCACCUGUUACAGUGUGUAGGUUCCCACAUCUACACGGCCGCCUGUUACAGUGUGUAGGUUCCCACAUCUACAUGGCCACCUGUUACAGUGUGUAGGUUCCCACAUCUACACGGCCGCCUGUUACAGUGUGUAGGUUCCCACAUCUACACGGCCACCUGUUACAGUGUGUAGGUUCCCACAUCUACACGGCCACCUGUUACAGUGUGUAGGUUCCCACAUCUACAUGGCCACCUGUUACAGUGUGUAGGUUCCCACAUCUACACGGCCACCUGUUACAGUGUGUAUAUAUAAGGUUCGCACAUCUACACGGCCGCCUGUUACAGUGUGUAGGUUCCCACAUCUACACGGCCACCUGUUACAGUGUGUAGGUUCCCACAUCUACACGGCCACCUGUUACAGUGUGUAGGUUCCACAUCUACACGGCCGCCUGUUACAGUGUGUAGGUUCCCACAUCUACACGGCCGCCUGCUGCAGUGUGUAGGUUCCCAC